GCCAUUUCAUGUUGCAUAAGCUGCUGUAGUGUUUGUUGGUUUUGGUAACAUGUCAAACUGCCGUUUGGACCAAUUUCCAUAUAAACGACUGCUGCUUUGCGAGGAUGAAAAGAUAGCUUGGGAAUGAGGGAGGGAUGAUCCGCCUGGACACAGGCCAACCCUGGAAUGCUGCAUUACUGUUGGCUCGCUGCUCCAUUUCCUGCUUACCGCCUGCUAACCAACUGAUUAACACGUGCAGAACCCAACCAAGCCCGACGGCAGGAGACCUUUGGGCCGUGACAAUGUGCUGGUCAGUGUGCACGCACCCCUGGCUCCCAGCUGGCUCCGUGGCUGCUUUUCUCACAGUAUGUCUGCUGCGUUGAUAAGUCUAUUACAGAGAAGGCUAGGGACGGGCGGGACUCCUGGGUAUUACAGGCCACGAGUCACAUUUGACCCCCC
ensembl:lncRNA